GAUUUCUGGUUCGGCGCACUUGGCCCGUCUCGGUUUACGGGACUGCGUGCCGGUGUGCGCCAUCCAUCCUUCGAGUGAACGCUUCUACCCUUCACUGGGUUGGGAGUGCUGAUCUCGAUCUUUUACUUUGAAAAAAUUAGAGUGUUUAAAGCAGGCUUAUGCUAUGAAUACAUUAGCAUGGAAUAAUAAUUUAGGACUUUGGUUCUAUUUUGUUGGUUUCUAGGACUGAAGUAAUGAUUGAUAGGGAUAGUUGGGGGUGCUAGUAUUCCGCGGCCAGAGGUGAAAUUCUUGGAUUCGUGGAAGACUAACUACUGCGAAAGCAUU
rnacentral:rRNA from 1 species